CCUACGGGAGGCAGCAGUGAGGAAUAUUGGUCAAUGGGCGUAAGCAUGAACCAGCCAAGUCGCGUGAGGGAUGAAGGUUCUAUGGAUCGUAAACCUCUUUUAUAAGGGAAUAAAGUGUGGGACGUGUCCUGUGUUGUAUGUACCUUAUGAAUAAGGAUCGGCUAACGCCGUGCCAGCAGCCGCGGUAAUACGGAGAAUCCGAUCGUUAUCCGGCUUUAUUGGGUUUAAAGGGGGCGUAGGCGGCCGUUUAAGGCAGCGGUGAAAGUCUGUGGCUCAACCAUAGAAUUGCCGUUGAAACUGGGAGGCUUGAGUAUGUUUGAGGCAGGCGUAAUGCGUGGUGUAGCGGUGAAAUGCUUAGAUAUCACGCAGAACCCCGAUUGCGAAGGCAGCCUGCCAAGCCAUGACUGACGCUGAUGCACGAAAGCGUGGGGAUCAAACAGGAUUAGAUACCCUGGUAGUC
rnacentral:rRNA from 1 species